rnacentral:lncRNA from 1 species
AUGGGCAGAGCGUCUUUUGGGGGACACCGAGGUGACGGAGCGGAAAAGCCGGAGAAGAGGCGUGGUUCCCGCUGCCCAGAAGCGGAUGCGAGGCCCUCUGAACCCGUAGUUGACGGCGGUGCCCUCGUUCCCGUCCCGCUCACCACCUCCCCAGUCCCCGCUCUUCCCACGGCAGGUGGCAAAGGCAGCGCCGAUGAGCCCGGCUCAGGGCCCCAUGGCAGCGGCAGAAAUGCUUACGGACCCUGAACAGGUGAGUGGAGGGUCACCCUGCUACUCAGGCCCCCAGGGAAGGGUAGUGUCCCACGACCUGUGUCCCUUCUCCUGCGUCUGUAGACCUCGUGCUUUCCCCAGGCCUGGGGUCCUGUAUUUAGUCUCAGGUAUUCUGGAACAGUUCCGUUUCUGACACCUGAUGGGGUGAGACGAGGCAGGGCCUCCUGACCACCGGACGCAGAAGGUUCACACAGCUGCAGGUGAGACCUGGCGGGCAAGUUCAGGGAACUGCAGGUCUCUGUUACAUCUGGUGGAAAUGGGAGCUGGGGGAGCAGGACACAGGUCUCAGAUCUCAGAGAGGUCCUGGUCCCCCAAGCUCAGGUUGGUGGGUGGUGGGUGAGUUUGAAGCAGAGGAGGAAGGUGCCAUGACCCAGGUUUGGACGGGCUUCCUCUGGCUGCAGGUUGGCAGAAGGCGGGGAGGGGGUGGGGGAGAGUGGGGGGAGGUGGAGGCAGGAAUACCUGGGGGCAGUUUCCUGCAAUAAUCCAGGAGAGUGUUGGUGACACAACUUCUACAGUGGUAGCUGUGGAGGGAGAGCAGUGCUUGGCUUCUGGAUGUGUUGUGAACUAGAGCUGCCUGUGUUGCUUGUGGUGGAGAGAGAGGGACUCAAGGACGUGGGCCAAAAGGAGGAAUCAGGGCCAAGUCCAGGAAUCUGGCUGUGCUUGGUUUUGUUUUUUUUUAAUUUUAAUUUUUUUCUUUUGUCUUUUUAGGGCUGCUUCCCUUGGCAUAUGGAGGUUCCCAGGCUAUGGGUCUAAUCAGAGCUACAGCUGCAGGCCUAUGCCAGAGCCAUAGCAAUGUCAGAUCCAAACUGAGUCUGUGACCUACACCACAGCUCAUGGCAAUGCCAGAUCCUUAACCCACUGAGUAAGGCCGGCGAUCAAACCCACAACCUCAUGGUUCCUAGUUGGAUUCGUUUCUGCUGCACCACGAAGGGAACUCUUUUUUUUUUUAAUGAUUUUUAUUUUUUCCAUGAUAGCU